UUUCCUGCUCCAUGGCCAGCCUUGGUGUCAACAUGGAUGAGAAGAGGAUUGGUUUGUUUACUGCUUCGGCCCACAACAUAUUGCAAAGUAGCAAUGAACUUCAGUGAAUGAAGAGGGACCACACGGUCAUCGUGGUCUGCUGUGAGGAGCAGUGUAGAGGGAUACUGGAUGCCAUCUUCUUCUGGUAGUUUGAUAUUGUGAAGUGGAGAGUACCUGAGAAGAGCACACAAAUCUUUACAUAUCUUUCCUCAAGACCCAACAAGAAGGUCGUCUCAUACUGAAAUCAUCACAGUGGCAUUUGAUAUCACCCAGAAUACUACAGUUUUCAGUUGCAUAUAUCAGAACUGCAUUACUGACAACUACUGAUGGUGGCCACAAAACUCUGGCUCUCAAGUGUGAAGCAAGUACAUUUUCCUUAAUUUCAGAGGCAUAUGCAUACACCUCCUAGAAAUGCCAAAAAUAUCAGAAAUGGGCAACGGAGAAACUGAGGGAACACCAUGCAGGAAACAGAAACAAGAGCUGAGAAUUUACAUCUUUUAGCUACUAUAACAUAACAUAAAAGGUGUAUCUACAUACCUCAAAAAAAGUACCCUCUAGUAUUAGAAAUUAAAGGAGUACCCAGGAAGUAACUCCAAAUUAUGUUUAAGAACACGUAACAACAUUUGAAUGUCUAACCUAGCAGAUCCCUGGCUUCCUCAUUUUCAUCUAAGGAACAAUGGCCUCCAUCUUCCUACUACUGGAAAGGACAAUUUCUUCAAGAACAAUGCUUGCCUCAUAUAUUUAAAAAAUAACCACAGCCCAUCUAGCUAAGUGUUCAGUUUAUAAGAGUGUCAACUAGCAGGUGCUCUGGGAAAAGAUGUAAAGCAAAUACUGAGAGAUGCUUCCUGUACAUUUUCAGCUUUUGAACUAGUUGUUUAGGUUUUCCCCAAGUUAGAGUAACCUGCAGCCAUCCUUUUAAAACAGCCAUCAAAACACAUAUCCUCUGUAAAUACAUCUAAUUCCUUUCUUAGAGUUUAUUCAUAUAACAUCAAGUCACAAAGAUUCCAUCUGUUUCAUACUUCUUUUACAAAAAGCUACACUUAGGAAGAAUGUUACAUUCUACUAGAUCGAGAGAUCUAGUGUUCAUCAUAUCCUGUAUCAAUAGGUUAUAGAACCUCAGCCUUCUCCAAAUCCAGGGUAGCCAGAGGGGGCCUACGUUGUCCCUAGUCUGUCUUUUAUUCGCUACAUACCUAUAGAGUACCUUCUUGUUAUCCUUAAUAUCCCUAGCCAAGUUUAAUUCUAACUGGGUCUUAGCUUUCGU